CUUGUAUCUUAUUCCAUCUUCAGGACAUCUCCACGGGAAUUCCUCGUAGGGAUCUAACUGCUACCAAUUAGAGCAGAGAGAAUAGCGAGAGAGAAAGACAUACAAAAAGACAAAAAAAAAAAUUGACAAGAAGAUAAAAAAAAUCUACAGAGUAAACAGACAUGGUGUGAAAUGGAGUGAAAAAGCAAUGGAAGAGAGAUAAAAUGUCAGAGAGAAGAAAUGGUGAGAUAGUCCACCCAGCAUUAAUAAGACAUGGUUGCGUGAAUUGUACUGAAGCAGAACCCUCUUUCCCUAGCCACACAAGUCUUUUUCAGUGUGUGUUUUGUAAGCAACCCUUUGUCUUCCAGUUUCAUUCUUCUCACGCACUUUUCUUUUUCUCAUUCAUUUGGUGCAAAAACCCUAAAAAUGCCUUUUUCUUCUAUUUCUAAAAUUUCCGUUAUUACUCUUCUGAUACACCGCUCUUUUGUUUUCGCACGGACAUUGUUCUUUUUUCUGUUCGAAAAUCUCCGUUAACGAUGAUCGGCAGGAACGAGGUUUCUAUAAUUUCUAUGAACUCAAUCGACUGUUUCUUCGGUAAGAUCUACAGUUUAGGCUUUAUUUUUUGUUGUUGUGUGGAAAUCGUUCUUUUUUCUGUUCGAACAUCUUUCAUAUUGAUUGUGUAUUUUGAACGACGAUCAAUAGGAACGAUGUUGCUAUGAACCCAAUUGACAGUUGAAGAAAGGGUUCGAUAGAAAGGGCAAAAAUUUCGGUAAGAUCUAUGUUCCCUUCGUUAAGCUACUUUCUGUAUUUAUAUUUGUGCGUUG
rnacentral:lncRNA from 1 species